AAGGAAUGGCUGGGAGUUACAGACAGGAAGUGAUGUCGGGUGCAGAGAGUAAGUCUCUAUGCACAGACAGGAAGUGAUGUCAGCUACAGACAGGAAGUUCCGGGUUAGAGGUGAGUCAGGAGGAAGCAGAAAGGAGACCUUGCUGGAACUGGCAUCAGAAGAGAUCACAGGACCACGUAAGUGAGGAUUGACGUGGACCGUGAGUCACAUGACUGAGAAGACACUGUGAGAGGAUGACCCUCAUGGCUGACACAGGAAGUUGUCCUAAUAUGGACAGCUGGGGUAAUAUGACUGAGAAGAUGCUCAACCUCGCCCUGGAGAUCAUCUACCUGCUGACCCGAGAGAGAUUUUGUCCUCUGAAGUCAGGUGAUCCUAUGACUAUCA